ACUCGGCGUACCGCUCAGUAACACGUGGGUAACCUGCCCUAUGCUGGGGGAUAACCUCGGGAAACUGAGAAUAAUACCCCAUAGUUCACCACGCCUGGAACGGUGGGUGGAUGAAAGCUCCGGCGGCAUAGGAUGGGCCUGCGGCGUAUCAGGUUGUAGGGGGUGUAAUGUACCCUCUAGCCAUCUACGCGUACGGGUGUUGGGAGACAUCGCCCGGAGAUGGAUUCUGAGACACGAAUCCAGACCCUACGGGGUGCAGCAGGCGCGAAAACUUGGCAAUGCGAGCAAUCGUGACCAGGGAACUCCAAGUGCAUCGGGUAAGACCGAUGCUUUUCUUGACUCUUCAAAGGUCUUGGAAUAAGGGGUGGGUAAGGACGGUGCCAGCCGCCGCGGUAAUACCGGCGCCUCAAGUGGUAGUCGCUUUUAUUGGGCCUAAAACGUCCGUAGCCGGUUUGGUACAUUCGUGGGUAAAUCAAGGCGCUCAACGUCUUGAAUUCUGCGAGCACGGCCAGACUUGGGACCGGGUGAGGUGUGGGGUACUCUCAGGGUAGGGGUAAAAUCCUGUCAUCCUGAGAGGACCACCUGUUGCGAAGGCGCCACACUA
rnacentral:rRNA from 1 species